AACGAACGCUGGCGGCAGGCUUAACACAUGCAAGUCGAACGCAUGCCCUCGGGUAUGAGUGUCAGACGGGUGCGUAACGCGUGGGAACCUACCCCUUGGUACGGGAUAGCUCCGGGAUACUGGAGAUAAUACCGUAUGUGUCCUGAGGGACAAAGAUUCAUCGCCAGGGGAUGGGCCCGCGUCGGUUUAGCUAGUUGGUGGGGUAACGGCCUACCAAGGCGAGGAUCCGUAGCUGGUUUAAGAGGAUGAUCAGGGACACUGGGACUGGGACACGGCCCAAACGCCUACGGGAGGCGGGAAUGGGGGAUAUAGGACAGGAGGCGCAAUGCUGAUCCAGCCAGGCCGGGAGAACGAUGAAGGCCCUGGAGUUGUAAAGCGCUUUCAACGGUGACGAUAAUGACGGUAGCCGGUGAAGAAGCCCCGGCUAACUACGUG
rnacentral:rRNA from 1 species